UCGACGCGUUCUGCGCCAAUUGAAUGAGGGUGCAUGCACCUGAUUGUAUUUGGUCGCCACGAGUGGCGGACGGGUGAGUAACACGUAUGUAACCUGCCCAGAAGCGGGGGACAACAUUUGGAAACAGACGCUAAUACCGCAUAACAACGUUGUUCGCAUGAACAACGCUUAAAAGAUGGCUUCUCUCUAUCACUUUCUGGAUGGACCUGCGGUGCAUUAGCUUGUUGGUGGGGUAACGGCCUACCAAGGCGAUGAUGCAUAGCCAAGUUGAAGACUGAUCGGCCACAUAGGGACUGACACACGGCCCAUACUCCACGGGAGAGACCAGU
rnacentral:rRNA from 2 species